CAUAUACGACCGUACCGCAAACCGACACUGGUGCGCGAGAUGAGUAUUCUAAGGCGCUUGAGAGAACUCAGGAGAAGGAACUCGGCAAAUUGACACCGUAACUUCGGAAGAAGGUGUGCCCUAUUAGUGUGUAGUGAACAACGAAGCAUGAAUGGGUUGCAAAAAAUCGGUGGCUGCGACUGUUUAUUAAAAACACAGCACUCUGCAAACACGAAAGUGGACGUAUAGGGUGUGACGCCUGCCCGGUGCUGGAAGAUUAAAUGAUGGGGUGCAAGCUCUUGAUUGAAGUCCCAGUAAACGGCGGCCGUAACAAUAACGGUCCUAAGGUAGCGAAAUUCCUUGUCGGGUAAGUUCCGACCUGCACGAAUGGCGUAACGAUGGCCACACUGUCUCCUCCUGAGACUCAGCGAAGUUGAAAUGUUUGUGAUGAUGCAAUCUCCCCGCGGAAAGAUGGAAAGACCCCAUGAACCUUUACUGUAGCUUUGUAUUGGACUUUGAACAGAUCUGUGUAGGAUAGGUGGGAGGCUUUGAAGCAGGGUCGCUAGAUCUUGUGGGCCAACGUUGAAAUACCACCCUGGUGUGUUUGAGGUUCUAACCUAGGUCCAUUAUCUGGAUCGGGGACAGUGCAUGGUAGGCAGUUUGACUGGGGCGGUCUCCUCCCAAAGCGUAACGGAGGAGUUCGAAGGUACGCUAGUUACGGUCGGACAUCGUGACGAUAGUGCAAUGGCAUAAGCGUGCUUAACUGCGAGACUGACAAGUCGAGCAGAUGCGAAAGCAGGACAUAGUGAUCCGGUGGUUCUGUAUGGAAGGGCCAUCGCUCAACGGAUAAAAGGUACUCUGGGGAUAACAGGCUGAUACCGCCCAAGAGUUCAUAUCGACGGCGGUGUUUGGCACCUCGAUGUCGGCUCAUCUCAUCCUGGGGCUGUAGCCGGUCCCAAGGGUAUGGCUGUUCGCCAUUUAAAGAGGUACGUGAGCUGGGUUUAAAACGUCGUGAGACAGUUUGGUCCCUAUCUUCCGUGGGCGCUGCAGAUUUGAGGAAGCCUGCUCCUAGUACGAGAGGACCGGAGUGGACACACCUCUGGUGUAUCGGUUGUCACGCCAGUGGCAUUGCUGAGUAGCUAAGUGUGGAAGAGAUAACCGCUGAAAGCAUCUAAGCGGGAAACCCGUUUCAAGAUGAGAUCUGCCGGGGCCUUGAGCCCCCUAAAGAGUCGUUCAAGACCAGGACGUUGAUAGGUCAGGUGUGGAAGC
rnacentral:rRNA from 1 species